rnacentral:rRNA from 1 species
GAAUAUUGCACAAUGGGCGCAAGCCUGAUGCAGCGACGCCGCGUGGGCGAAGAAGGUUUUCGGAUCGUAAAGCCCUUUUCUGCGUGACGAUGAUGACGGUAGCGCAGGAAUAAGUGUCGGCUAACUACGUGCCAGCAGCCGCGGUAAAACGUAGGACGCGAACGUUAUCCGGAAUUACUGGGCGUAAAGGGCGCGCAGGCGGUAGGGUAAGUUAGGCAUGAAAGCUCCCUGGCUAAACCGGGAGAGGAUGUCUGAUACUGCCGUACUAGAGUGUGGUAGAGGGGUGUAGAAUUCCGCGUGUAGUGGUGAAAUGCGUAGAUAUGCGGAGGAAUACCAGUGGCGAAGGCGGCACCCUGGACCACAACUGACGCUGAGGCGCGAAAGCAUGGGUAGCGAACGGG